GAUGGAAUAGUUCACAGUAGUCUGGAUCCGGUAGAGAUUCUUUACCUUACCAUUGCGUAUGACUGGUUUCUAUUUGGGCACAUGUUGGCUGAUCGUCUUAGCAAGGGUGAAGAGAUAUUUUUUUUUUGCUUCAAUUUUUUGAAGCACAUCACUUCGGACGAGUUCUCCUCUUCUGGGAGGAAAUCACGG